ACGGCAAUAAAAAAAGAGUUUAAAUCAAAGCCGACGUGACCUCUUCCAUGUACUGCAGCAGGUCCAGAGCCUUCUUGAAGUCGUACUCGUUGGCUCGUCUGUUGUCGUCGCAGAUGUACAGCUGCAGGGGAGACCAAGGAAGCGUUCGACAGGACAGGAAGCAGAGCAGAAGAUGCUGAGGUUCUCUUUGGAACCAGGAAUGGGACAUGAAUGGAUCCAUCAGAGGAACAGAUUAUAGUCUGGAGAUCAGCGCAGGGAAGCAGAUGGAGACGUUUGAGAGGAGAAACAGGGAGGAUGCUGGGAAAGGAUGCUGAGGGUGGAGCUACCAGGAAGGAAGGAUGGAAAAAAAAGGAUGCAAAGAAAGAAAAAAGAAAGAAAGCAUUUACAGAGAAAGAAUAAAAGACAAAAAGAUGAAAGAAAGGAUGAAAAGACGAAUGAAUGAUCGUUAAAUAAACUUUAUUGUCUGUUCAUUAAAUAGACAAUAAAGUUUUGGUGCCUCCUUUUGCACAAACAUCAAUUAAAUCUUGAAAGAAGGAA